rnacentral:rRNA from 1 species
GAUGAACGCUGGCGCGUGCCUAAUACAUGCAAGUCGAGCGAACGGACGAGAAGCUUGCUUCUCUGAUGUUAGCGGCGGACGGGUGAGUAACACGUGGAUAACCUACCUAUAAGACUGGGAUAACUUCGGGAAACCGGAGCUAAUACCGGAUAAUAUUUUGAACCGCAUGGUUCAAAAGUGAAAGACGGUCUUGCUGUCACUUAUAGAUGGAUCCGCGCUGCAUUAGCUAGUUGGUAAGGUAACGGCUUACCAAGGCAACGAUGCAUAGCCGACCUGAGAGGGUGAUCGGCCACACUGGAACUGAGACACGGUCCAGACUCCUACGGGAGGCAGCAGUAGGGAAUCUUCCGCAAUGGGCGAAAGCCUGACGGAGCAACGCCGCGUGAGUGAUGAAGGUCUUCGGAUCGUAAAACUCUGUUAUUAGGGAAGAACAUAUGUGUAAGUAACUGUGCACAUCUUGACGGUACCUAAUCAGAAAGCCACGGCUAACUACGUG